CCUACGGGUGGCUGCAGUGGGGAAUAUUGGACAAUGGGCGAAAGCCUGAUCCAGCCAUGCCGCGUGUGUGAAGAAGGCCUUCGGGUUGUAAAGCACUUUCAGUGGGGAAGAAAGCCUUGGGGCUAAUACCCUCGAGGAAGGACAUCACCCACAGAAGAAGCACCGGCUAACUCCGUGCCAGCAGCCGCGGUAAUACGGAGGGUGCGAGCGUUAAUCGGAAUUACUGGGCGUAACGCGCGCGUAGGCGGUCUGAUAAGCCGGUUGUGAAAGCCCCGGGCUCAACCUGGGAACGGCAUCCGGAACUGUCAGGCUAGAGUGCAGGAGAGGAAGGUAGAAUUCCCGGUGUAGCGGUGAAAUGCGUAGAGAUCGGGAGGAAUACCAGUGGCGAAGGCGGCCUUCUGGACUGACACUGACGCUGAGGUGCGAAAGCGUGGGUAGCAAACAGGAUUAGAUACCCGUGUAGUC
rnacentral:rRNA from 1 species